rnacentral:lncRNA from 10 species
GUUAAGGUACUAAUCACAGCAGCAGUGCUGGGAAAGAUGCCUAGGAAGGAUGAGGAUGACAGGCACUAUUUUGGUGUGCUCCCCACCACAGCAAUAACAGAAAGAUAGUCCAGGUGCAGUGUCUUUCACCUGUAAUCCCAGCACUUUGGGAGGCUGAGGUGGGAGGAUCGCUUGAGCCCAGGAGUUCAAGACCAGCCUGGGCAACAUGCCUACAUCAUGCUAUGACAAUUUUCAUAUAAAGAUGCUGUCUCGGAAAGAAAAGGAUUGGGAGUUUGAAUGAUCUAUGGCUUCCAUUCCAAAAAGGAUUACUACAGAAGUAAUUACUUUGAAAGAAAAGUGAUAAUAUGUUUUUGGAGAAAGGUGGAAAUGAAGCAAGGCCCUGAAUAUAUUACCAAGAUGCAUAUUACACUGAAUGAAAUCAUCCGUUGCCCUUCCGGAUCUAUCCCGUGGAUGCAGAGCAAGAGCAACCCAUCUUUGUUCAGCAUCCCAGGAGACAGGCCUCUAUUGACAGCAUCAGUCUGGCUCCUUUGCCCUCUGAUUUCCCAUUGAAUGUGGCCAGUGGGAGGGCCCAGCAGAUGGAGGGCCAGGAGGAGGAAGAGUCUGCAGCAUUUGUUCUCCUGGCUCCCACCCUGCCAGGUCUCUGUCUGACAGUGGCUCACGCUUUUCCACAGCCCCUGUCAGGUGGCCUCUCCCAAAGUGACAGUGUUCACUUGGUUCUGUAAGUGUUUUCUCCAUUGCCUCUUGCCAGGGAGGGUAAUGGCUUCCUAGAGCCAGAUGCCAGCACCUGAGGUUGCCCACCACCCCAUGCUGUUUCCCUUAACCCUGCCUACACUUUCAAGAAUUGAAACUCUUUGCAGCCUCCUUUUUUUUUUUUUUAAAAAAAGGUACUAUCGAUUUCCUAAAGGACCGUGAGUGAUAUACACUCAGAGAUUCUUUUGUCAUGUUACUUUCCGUAGCUCAAUAUGGCUGUUAUCCACAUUAUACAAAGAACAUAAUACCUACCUUAAAUUUUUAAUAUUUUGUCUUUAUUCUUCAACUCUGUGUAGCAUUUCCUUCUGGUUAAGAACAUGCAGAUAAUCCAAAUAAACAGAUUUGACUAA